rnacentral:rRNA from 1 species
UACGUAGGUGGCAAGCGUUAUCCGGAAUUAUUGGGCGUAAAGCGCGCGCAGGCGGUUUCUUAAGUCUGAUGUGAAAGCCCACGGCUCAACCGUGGAGGGUCAUUGGAAACUGGGGAACUUGAGUGCAGAAGAGAAAAGCGGAAUUCCACGUGUAGCGGUGGAAUGACGUAGAGAUGUGGAGGAACACCAGUGGCGAAGGCGGCUUUUGGUCUGUAACUGACGCUGAGGCGCGAAAGCGGUGGGAGCA